GGAUCUUAGAUUCUUAAUAACUAGUAUUAUGAGUAACAUACUUUGAUAUAACGGACAAACUGUUAGUGUGGUUCAAAACGAACUUGGUUUAAAGGGAGGUUACCCUGACACGGAAUUUCAUAAUAGUGCUGUUGACAUUUUCACUCGUUUUGCUACCUGUAGUAUGAAAAAAGGCAUCUGAUUUCUGUAAAUUUGAUUACAAUUUUCCUCCUCAAAAAUUAUUUCAAAAUGUGGUAAGUUCAUAGCUAUAUAUUUUUUUAAGAAAACAAUGAUGAUGACAUAUACCUUAGAAAGCAAUCACUUACCUUCAAAAGGGAGAGGGUAUCGUUUUUUUUUACUCAGAAUUUUUUUUUCGCGCAUUCAUAACUUUUUUGGUCAUUUGUAAAGCGACCAGAAUAUUAUUUCCUCAAAUUGGGGAUCAGAAUAUCUAAAAAGAAAAAAAACAACAAAAAAACAUACCCCCUCCCCCUGAAAGUUAAAUGGUCGUUCCCUUAUAUAUCGAUUCAAAUAGUAUAGAUAUAAAUAGCAUUCGGGUGACACUUGAAAAAGCUCUAUGGACUUUAGUUUAGAGCCAAUAAUUGCCAUACGUAAUCACAACAAAAAGUAAUCAUGUUCCUCUCUUGUCGCUAAUUACUACAUAUUAAUCUUCACAACAACAAAUUUAAUACUAGAUCGAUUUCAGUUUAGAGCUUCCAACGAUUUUAUCUAGUCAUGGAUUAAAGUAACCAACAUGAUUUACUUCG
rnacentral:lncRNA from 1 species